rnacentral:sRNA from 1 species
GAGCCAGGGCCUGUCAGCUGGUCUCAUCAGAGCCGAGGCUACUCUCCAGGUGGGGUUCUGUCUGAAUGCAUCUGAGUUUUUCCUUAUUUCUCUGUAAACUGUAGGUGAGCUGGGUGAACACAGUAGCUUCAGCCACAGCUGGGACCUGAGGCAGCAUCUGAAGUCCCUCUCAUUCUCCCAGCGUGAGCUGGCAGACCCUGAAGGGAACGCAGAGACUGACCACAGCUGGACUUGCGCCGCCUCAUCCUCUUAGUGAAUGAGGUCCUCAGAGGCUUAAGCACGCAUUACUUAUCCAAAAUGCUUCUGUUCAGGCGAAUGCACGAAGCGUUGAGCCUCAUUUAGGGUUAGAUACGGUCAUAUUAAGUUGAUGGGAAGGAGACAGAGCCAGCCUGAAUGUCCUGGGUGAUGAGGAUUGAAGUCAUGGGGUCUAAAAAGGUUCUGGAAGAUGAACGAUGAACCGAGAGGAGGAAAAUCAUCUGCAAAUAAAGCCUCGAUUCCUGAUCCCUUCUAUCUUAGCCACAGCAGCUCAGGAAGA